GUGAAUCAUCGAAUCUUUGAACGCACAUUGCGCCCUUUGGUAUUCCUUAGGGCAUGCCUGUUCGAGCGUCAUUUCAACCCUCAAGCUCAGCUUGGUGUUGGGCGCCUUGUCCCCGCCGAUCCGCGCGGGGACUCGCCCCAAAGACAUUGGCAGCCGCAUCCCCCCGAGCCGCGGGCGCAGCACAGUCGCGCGAGCGGAGCGGGAGGAACGGGCUCUCCAGGAGGCACACCACACCGUCUUGACCUCGGAUCAGGUAGGGAUACCCGCUGAACUUAAGCAUAUCAAUAAGCGGAGGA
rnacentral:misc_RNA from 1 species